rnacentral:rRNA from 1 species
GACGAACGCUGGCGGCGUGCUUAACACAUGCAAGUCGAGCGGUAAGGCCCUUUCGGGGGUACGACGAGCGGCGAACGGGUGAGUAACACGUAGGUGACCUGCCCUGAAGUGCGGAAUAACAGUCCGAAAGGAUUGCUAAUACCGCAUGUGGUCCCGGGCGUUAGAGAACCGGGUCUAAAGACAGUAAUGCGCUUCAGGAGGGGCCUGCGGUCCAUCAGCUAGUUGGUAGGGUAAUGGCCUACCAAGGCAACGACGGAUAGGGGACCGUGAGAGGGUGGGCCCCCA